AUUGAACGCUGGCGGAAUGCUUUACACAUGCAAGUCGAACGGCAGCACGGACUUCGGUCUGGUGGCGAGUGGCGAACGGGUGAGUAAUGUAUCGGAACGUGCCCAGUCGUGGGGGAUAACGUAGUGAAAAUUACGCUAAUACCGCAUACGAUCUAUGGAUGAAAGCGGGGGAUCGCAAGACCUCGCGCGAUUGGAGCGGCCGAUAUCAGAUUAGGUAGUCGGUGGGGUAAAGGCCCACCAAGCCAACGAUCUGUAGCUGGUCUGAGGGGACGACCAGCCACACUGGAACUGAGACACGGGCCAGACUCCUACGGGAGGCAGCAGUGGGGAAUUUUGGACAAUGGGCGAAAGCCUGAUCCAGCCAUUCCGCGUGCAGGAUGAAGGCCCUCGGGUUGUAAACUGCUUUUGUACAGAACGAAAAGGUUUCUACUAAUACUAGGAGCUCAUGACGGUACUGUAAGAAUAAGCACCGGCUAACUACGUGCCAGCAGCCGCAGUAA
rnacentral:rRNA from 1 species